GCAGAAGUGGCGGAAUUGGUAGACGCGCUAGGUUCAGGAUCUAGUGAGCAAUACGCUUGUAGGGGUUCGAGUCCCCUCUUCUGUACCA
rnacentral:tRNA from 1 species